UAUUUAAAUACUUAAAGACUUUUAAAGGUUUUUAAAAUAGUGUUAAUUUCAUUACUCACCAAAAAUGCAAUGAGUCAUGUAGGUGUUUUUUAUGCAAUUUGGAGGACCUUUUAGGUACUUCAUAAAGAAGGAAGAUACUCCAAAGGUGAUAAAAUGAGUCUAGAAAGAUACUUUCCUUUAAUGGGGUUUAGAAAAUUUGCAAUUAAGAAUAAGCUAAAGCAACUCAAAAUUUUAUUAUGGAUUUAUAGUCCUUUCAAACUCAUCGGAAUCUCAACAAAAUUAGUUGAUUUCAAUUGUUCCCAACCUUUUCAAAAUCAAAAAUACUUUUGCUGUUUCUUACUACCAAUUUUCUCCAAUAAAAUGUUUAAGAAGAAAUGUGUCUUUCUACUAAAGAGAAGUCAAAUUUAUUUUCCUAUUUUUAUUGGAGGCAUAUAUAGUUACUAACCGGUGUGUGUUUAGUGUACAACAACUUGUGUUCCAUAACACAUCAAGUAACUCCAAGGAAAAGACAAUUAUGUAAUAUUGAGGAUAGCCUCCACAGGUACACCAGAGACUAAAAACAGAAGACUAACCACAUUAAGGCAAAGCAGAAUGAUAGACUCUCCCAGAUUAGAUGUUCAUAUUUACUAACCACAGAUUGACAAAUGUGGUCACAGCUCAGCUAAAAAAUGUCCAUGACUCUUGUAAUGAAGAGGAAUUCAUACUUAGGAACAAAGGUGAAAUACCAAAUACUUGCAUUUAAAAUCCUUCAUACAUCUCUCUGGAAUUACCUUCACCUCUUCUUCUAAAAUAUGUGGUGGUAAUGAGAAUGUGCUUUGUUGUCCUUCUAUUACAGGGAGCAUAAUGGACCAAGGGUCCCUGCUGCUGCACUUUGAAGUCCAGUCUUGUGUUCCCACUGAGGCCAUGCCUACCAUGGGCUAGUUCCUACCAACUACAAAGUGAGGCAUUUCCCCCCAGUAAACUACUUAUUCUCAUAACUCCAUCUCAGUGUCAGCUUCCUAGAAGACCCAGACAACUUGGAUGGCCUUCAAAGAAAAACGGAGGGAGCGUUAUCAUUUAUUUACUAAAUACAUAUUUGCCAUCAGUAAAUGAUAAACAAAAGCUGAUGAAGUUCAUCAAAACUAGACCUGUUUUGCAAGAAGUGCUAGAGUCCUUAAAGUUAAAAGAAAGAUAUGAGACAGCAACACCAAGGUAUAAGAGAAAAACAAAAAUCUCUGGAAAAGGUAAAUAUAUCAACAAAUACAGAAUCCUGAAAUACAAUAAUGGUAGUGCAUAAAUCACUUUGGAAAAUUUUAUUUCCUUAUUGAUACAUAAUAGGUAUAUGUAUGUUGGAGGUACAUGUUAACAAUUUAAUAGAUUCAUCUAAUUUAUAAA